rnacentral:rRNA from 1 species
GAUGAACGCUGGCGGCGUGCCUAAUACAUGCAAGUCGAGCGAACAGACGAGGAGCUUGCUCCUUUGACGUUAGCGGCGGACGGGUGAGUAACACGUAGGUAACCUACCUAUAAGACUGGGAUAACUUCGGGAAACCGGAGCUAAUACCGGAUAAUAUUUCGAACCGCAUGGUUCGAUAGUGAAAGAUGGCUUUGCUAUCACUUAUAGAUGGACCUGCGCCGUAUUAGCUAGUUGGUAAGGUAACGGCUUACCAAGGCAACGAUACGUAGCCGACCUGAGAGGGUGAUCGGCCACACUGGAACUGAGACACGGUCCAGACUCCUACGGGAGGCAGCAGUAGGGAAUCUUCCGCAAUGGGCGAAAGCCUGACGGAGCAACGCCGCGUGAGUGAUGAAGGUCUUCGGAUCGUAAAACUCUGUUAUUAGGGAAGAACAAACGUGUAAGUAACUGUGCACGUCCUGACGGUACCUAAUCAGAAAGCCACGGCUAACUACGUG